UACGUAGGGCGCAAGCGUUGUCCGGAAUUAUUGGGCGUAAAGAGCUCGUAGGCGGUUGGGUAAGUCGGGUGUGAAAACUCCAGGCUCAACUUGGAGAUGCCACCCGAUACUGCUCUGACUUGAGUCCGGUAGGGGAGUGGGGAAUUCCUGGUGUAGCGGUGAAAUGCGCAGAUAUCAGGAGGAACACCGGUGGCGAAGGCGCCACUCUGGGCCGAGACUGACGCUGAGGAGCGAAAGCGUGGGUAGCAAACAGG
rnacentral:rRNA from 1 species